UACGUAGGUGGCGAGCGUUGUCCGGAAUUACUGGGUGUAAAGGGCGUGUAGGCGGGAAUGUAAGUCAGAUGUGAAAUACCAUGGCUCAACUGUGGGGCUGCAUCUGAAACUACAUUUCUUGAGUGCUGGAGAGGAAAGCGGAAUUCCUAGUGUAGCGGUGAAAUGCGUAGAUAUUAGGAGGAACACCAGUGGCGAAGGCGGCUUUCUGGACAGUAACUGACGCUGAGGCGCGAAAGCGUGGGGAGCAAACAGG
rnacentral:rRNA from 1 species